GUAACAAUGCGGUUUGUACGACGUUGGUUAAAAACAUAGCGAUUGCAAGACUGAAACCUACUUGAGGAGGUUGUGGAUGCUCAGAAGAAUAGGAGCUAACAAAAAUAACAAUCUUCCUAAUUAAAUUUGGCUGAAUAAACGCUACAACGUCUUGCACCAACUUCAAAACGAUAAUAACAACGGUAAGCUUCCAAUGGUUUAAAAACAAAACACCCCACAUGUAAAGACUACUUUUUUUCUUUUUUGCAUGGGAAAUCCAAUUCUUUUCAAAAACAAUAGUCAGAUUGCUGGAACGUUCGGCAGGAGGAAGAGACCAAGCAUCUGAUUCAGUAAGAUAAUUUCUGUAACCAAACUUCAUAAGAGGGCUAAGCCAACCAAAUGAUAUCCUUGAAAAAAUGUUGGCAUAGGUAAACCGAGAUGGUCUUAAUCCAGUCUCUUCCAACUCAGCUGCAUCAUCGGGAUACCAAACUCGGUUGGCAGGAGGCACGUAGAUUUCAGCUAGAAGGCAUACCAAUGAGCAAAAAAAAGUAAUGGAGGGAACUACGUUAAGCAUAGGGAACAUUGUAUAAUUAGGACGAAGUAAUAAAACCAGAGCCGAGGCUAAAAACUUAAAAAGCCAAAACAUCAACAAAGAGGCCAUAGGUAUUCGCAACGUAGGCUGCUCCACAACAUGCAAAAACAAAGCAAGAAAAUAAGUUAUAAUGCUUAAUACAUUCCAUACACUUUCAUUCGUUUUAUAACAGUCAUAAAUAUGGGUGAAAAGGAGAACCAUAAUAACUAAAGACUUCAGCCAUAUUGUCCAAAAUCUUCGAAAAUGAAAAUAAUGAGACCUUUUUCUAACCUCAUAGAAGUACUGCAGACAUCCACUGAUAAGAAGGUAAAUGUUUGGAGCAAGCCAAGUUGCCGAUAGAAAUGUGAAUCCUUUGUAAGCAGAAUUCAUCCAAUUUCCACCUACAAAAGGAUCUAAAUCCUGUUCAAGAACCAUUUUGAUAAUACAGUAUUAAACUGAUUCAAAUUCCCUGAAACAGUUAUUUCCUGCGAAUGUAACAAAACCUGAAGAGUGUUGGCUGAAGAUAAGUGGCUUACAAAGUAUAAAUUUGUGGUGGUAUGAAUGAACAUGUUCGUAAUACAUUUCGAUUCAGUAACUAACAACAAAAUAUUACUAAAUUUUUAUGAGCAACUAGAUAUAUUAAUGGAAUCCCUUAAUAUAUUUUAAUCUAUCUAAUGAGUUUAUAAUUUCAUCGUUGAAUUGACUAACCUUUCACAAAACGAAUCUACAUAUUAA